rnacentral:rRNA from 1 species
UACGUAGGGUCCGAGCGUUGUCCGGAAUUACUGGGCGUAAAGAGCUCGUAGGUGGUUUGUCGCGUUGUUCGUGAAAACUCACAGCUCAACUGUGGGCGUGCGGGCGAUACGGGCAGACUUGAGUACUGCAGGGGAGACUGGAAUUCCUGGUGUAGCGGUGGAAUGCGCAGAUAUCAGGAGGAACACCGGUGGCGAAGGCGGGUCUCUGGGCCGGUACUGACACUGGAGGAGCGACAGCGUGGGGAGCAAACAGG